AAUCUUAGACAAUGGGGGCAACCCUGAUCUAGCCAUGCCGCUUGAGCGAUGAAGGGCUUAGGGUUGUCUAGCUCUUUCAGCUGUGAGGAUAAUGACGGUAGCACCAGAAGAAGUCACGUCUAACUUCGUUCCACCAGCCGCGGUAAUACGGAGGGGACUAGCGUUGUUCGGAAUUACUGGGCGUAAAGCGCACGUAGGCGGAUCGGAAAGUUGGGGGUGAAAUCCCGGGGCUCAACCCCGGAACUGCCUUCAAAACUAUCGGUCUGGAGAUCGAGAGAGGUGAGUGGAAUUCCGAGUGUAGAGGUGAAAUUCGUAGAUAUUCGGAGGAACACCAGUGGCGAAGGCGGCUCACUGGCUCGAUACUGACGCUGAGGUGCGAAAGCGUGGGGAGCAAACA
rnacentral:rRNA from 1 species